rnacentral:tRNA from 1 species
UAACCCUACCCCCAGGGGAAGUCGAAUCCCCGCUGCCUCCUUGAAAGGAAAAAUGUCCU